AGUCUGGUGCCAGCAGCCGCGGUAAUUCCAGCUCCAAUAGCAUACUUUAAAGUUGCUGCAGUUAAAAAGCUCGUAGUUGAAUUUCUGACUUAACAUGCUUAGCCCUUCCGGGUCACCGGUGGAGUGCUGAGUCGUGUUUGUCAUCCUUCCAGAAAAUGUUGUUGCGCUUCACUGCGUUGACAACACUAUCUGGAUCUUUUACUUUGAAAAAAUUAGAGUGUUUAAAGCAGGCUUUUGCUAUGAAUACAUUAGCAUGGAAUAAUAAUUUAGGACUUCGGUUCUAUUUUGUUGGUUUCUAGGACUGAAGUAAUGAUUGAUAGGGACAGUUGGGGAUGCUGAAAUUCAUUGGCCAGAGGUGAAAUUCUUGGAUUCAAUGAAGUUCAACUCAUGCGAAAGCAUUCAUCAAGGAUGUCUUCUUCUAAUCAAGAACGAAAGUUGGGGGAUCGAAGACGAUCAGAUACCGUCGUAGUCUCAACUAUAAACUAUGCCGACUCGGGAUUGGUGAACGUUGCAUUUUCGACUUCAUCAGCACCGUAUGAGAAAUCAAAGUCUUUGGGUUCCGGGGGGAGUAUGAUCGCAAGGUUGAAACUUAAAGGAAUUGACGGAAGGGCACCACCAGGAGUGGAGCCUGCGGCUUAAUUUGACCCAACACGGGAAAACUUACCAGGUCCAGACAUAGUGAGGAUUGACAGAUUGAAGAUCUUUCUUGAUUCUAUGGGUGGUGGUGCGUGGCCGUUCUUAGUUGGUGGAGCGAUUUGUCUGGUUAAUUCCGUUAACGAACGAGACCUCGACCUGCUAAAUAGUUCGGCGAAGGCGUCAGCCUUUGUACGUGACUUCCUAGAGGGACUAUCGGUGCUUUAGCCGAAGGAAGUUCGAGGCAAUAACAGGUCUGUGAUGCCCUUAGAUGUUCUGGGCUGCACGCGCGCUACACUGAUGGUUGCAUCGAGCUUACAACCUUGAUCGGAAGGUCUGGGUAAUCUUUUUAACGACCAUCGUGCUGGGGAUAGAUUAUUGUAAUUAUUAAUCUUCAACGAGGAAUUCCCAGUAAACGCAAGUCAUCAACUUGCAUUGAUUACGUCCCUGCCCUUUGUACACACCGCCCGUCGCUACUACCGAUUGAAUGGAUUAAUGAGCUGCAGGGAUUGACGCGCUUGUGGGCAACUGCUUGCGUGUCGAGAACUGCAACAAAUUUGUUCAUUUAGAGGAAGUAAAAGUCGUAACAAGGUUUCCGUUGGUGAACCAGCGGAAG
rnacentral:rRNA from 1 species